UACAGAGGUCUCAAGCGUUGUUCGGAUUCAUUGGGCGUAAAGGGCGCGUAGGCGGCGGGGUAAGUCGGGUGUGAAAUCUCAGAGCUCAACUCUGAAACUGCACUCGAUACUGCUUUGCUAGAGGACUGGAGAGGAGAUUGGAAUUCACGGUGUAGCAGUGAAAUGCGUAGAUAUCGUGAGGAAGACCAGUGGCGAAGGCGGAUCUCUGGACAGUUCCGUGACGCUGAGGCGCGAAGGCCAGGGGAGCAAACGGG
rnacentral:rRNA from 1 species